CAGUUUGAAAAAGCUUUAAAUGUAGAGACAUUUGUGGUUCCUCCAGCAUAAUUUAGCCGUUUAACGCUAUUAUGUUUCUAAUGGUUGAAAGAGCGCGUGGAAAGGGCAAUUUUCAAGAACAAAAACAAUUACAAUGUACUGUGUAUUAAUUGCUACUGUAGUAUUAAAAUACCUGAAGAGAGUCUCAAUUCUAAUAUUAAG